rnacentral:rRNA from 1 species
GACGAACUGUGCAAACGUUAUUCGGAAUCACUGGGCUUGAAGAGUGCGUAGGCGGUUUCGUAAGUAGGGUGUGAAAGCCCCCCAGCUCAACUGGGGAACUGCGUCCUAAACUGCGAGGCUGGAGUGAGGUAGGGGUGUGUGGAACUUCCGGUGGAGCGGUGAAAUGUGUUGAUAUCGGAAGGAACGCCGGUGGCGAAAGCGACACACUGGGCCUUGUCUGACGCUGAGGCACGAAAGCCAGGGGAGCAAACGGG